GUCGGAUUAGCUAGUUGGCGGGGUAAAGGCCCACCAAGGCGACGAUCCGUAGCUGGUCUGAGAGGACGAUCAGCCACACUGGAACUGAGACACGGUCCAGACUCCUACGGGAGGCAGCAGUGGGGAAUUUUGGACAAUGGGCGCAAGCCUGAUCCAGCCAUGCCGCGUGAGUGAAGAAGGCCUUCGGGUUGUAAAGCUCUUUCGGCGGGGACGAAACGGUCCGCGUUAACACCGCGGAUCAAUGACGGUACUCGCAGAAGAAGCACCGGCUAACUACGUGCCAGCAGCCGCGGUAAUACGUAGGGUGCAGGCGUUAAUCGGAAUUACUGGGCGUAAAGCGUGCGCAGGCGGCUCCUUAAGUCAGAUGUGAAAUCCCCGGGCUUAACCUGGGAACUGCGUUUGAAACUGGGGAGCUUGAGUGUGGAAGAGGGGGGUGGAAUUCCAGGUGUAGCAGUGAAAUGCGUAGAGAUCUGGAGGAACACCGAUGGCGAAGGCAGCCCCCUGG
rnacentral:rRNA from 1 species